UUUUUCUCCGGAUUAGGUAGAAAAUACCUUAUUUUGGCUGAAAAUUUCUUUCAGUGCUUUUGGCUUUGCCAUUUAACAUCGACGCCAUUAUUGUUUCAACCCUCAGCCCGUGCGCACGAAAAAAGUCUCUCCGCGAAAUUAAAUUAAAGAAAAAAAAUGUUCGGUGGAUUGUGGCAUCGGAGUGGACCGUAAAUGUGAAGUUUGUGCCAGUUGUGUUCCGUAGUUGCUGUUGGUGUGCGAAUUCGUCGGGUUUGUCAUCUUUGCUUGGGUGCUGGGCAAUAAUUAUUCGUCGCUUCUACGAAUCCGGCCAGGCGUCAGGGUUCCGGUCGUGUUGCUGCUGACCAAUUUCUUUUCUCAUACCGAAUCAGAGCUUGUGGUGCUGCUGUGUAGCUUCUUCAUUCCUGCUGCGAGUCCGGGCAGAAUCGGGUUGUACCAUUUCUGUUCGGCAGUUUGCUGUUGUGCAGGUUCGUCGGGUUUGCCAUCAUUGUGGGACUGCUGGGCGAUAGCUAUUCGUCCGUGCUACGAGUCCGGCCAGACGUCGGGGUUCCGGUCGUGUUGCUGCUGCCGGGCUGCUGUGCGGCCUCUAUUCGUUUCUGGUGUAAGUCCAGGCAAAACCCCAGCUGCUCCCCAUUUAACAUCGGAGUGGACCAUAACUGGUUGUUGGGACAUUUGUUUUCGGCAGUUUGCUGUUGUGCAGAUUCGUCGGGUUUGCCAUCAUUGUGGGGCUGCCGGGCGGUAGCUGUUCAUCCCUGCUACGACUCCGACCAGGCGUCCGGAUUUCGGUCUUGUUGUUGGAGCUGGACGUGUUGUUGCAACGAUACGGGAACUGAAGAAGCUCAUUUUCCUGAAACAUUGGACUGGUCCGAGUAGAGCUAGUACAGCUUCAUCUGCCCCCACCUCACCAUUGAUCUCCUAAUUGUCACCGUGAAAUAGUACAAACCCUUUAAACAACCGAUUCCGGAUUAAGAGUACCACCGAGCGAUAUGGAACGUCUUUCGAAGAAGCUGGAUAGUGGUACCUACGCAAAGCAUUUUUGCUUGGGCCUUAACGAGUUGUUUUUCAUUUGUCAUUUUAUGUUUAUAAAAAGUACCAUAAGACAAGUCUUUAUAUGCUACAAGAGAAUUAAAAAGUUCUUCAAACUUUCGCUUAUUAUAUUAUAAUAGAAAAAAAACACUGAAACAAAUGUACAUUUUCUGAUGUAAACUACGUUAAUAAAAGAAAAACAUGACAAACAAUAUAAUUUGAAAAUAAAUGUUUAUCCACUAACAACGUAAAAGAUUAAAAAGGGAUAUGAUUUUAUUUAUUGGGGGUUCACGAGCUUUCUUAAAUCUUUUACGUCAUGAUGGAUAAACUUUUCUUAUAUUUAUUAUCGUUUUGAGACUCCCUUUUCAUAUA